UACGGAGGAUCCGAGCGUUAUCCGGAUUUAUUGGGUUUAAAGGGUGCGCAGGCGGGAUGUUAAGUCGGCGGUGAAAUUUUGCAGCUCAACUGUAAAAGUGCCUUCGAAACUGGUUUCCUUGAGUGUAGAUGAAGUAGGCGGAAUUUGUGGUGUAGCGGUGAAAUGCAUAGAUAUCACGAGGAACUCCGAUUGCGCAGGCAGCUUACUAAACUACUACUGACGCUCAGGCACGAAGGCGUGGGGAUCAAACAGGAUUAGAUACCCUGGUA
rnacentral:rRNA from 1 species